CGCGCACGGUCCACCUGGCGCUCGGGGCCGCGAGCGAGCGCAGCCAGGCCGCCCGGGAACUUUUUUCCUCGCGCUCUCGCUCUCCCGCUCCCCGCGUCGCCCGCCGCCCGCCCGCCCGCCCGCUCUUCCUGUGAGGAGGAGAUCGCGUUUCCCCGCGGCACCCGCGGACACCAGGCAGCCCGGGCGGGUGCGCGGCCAGGACCCGCUCCCCGCGCCGCCUGCUCCCCGCGUUCCCGGGCGCCGCCCCCGCCCGCGUCUAGGCUCCGAGAGGCGACUUGGAGAGCAAGGCGGCGAGGGCGACUGGCGAGCCGAGCAGGCCGCCCAGCCCGCGGCUCAAGCGUCGGCGCGAGGAGGGGCACCGCGGCCCACCUCCUUCCUGCCUGGCCGCGGGCCGGUCGGGCCGCCGCGCCUGACCCCCAUGGCCGCCGAGGCCUCCGGGCCGCUACGUCGCAGCGCCAGACGCAGGGUCCCCGAGUGAGCGCGGGCGCCGAGCCCAGAAGUUAUCUGGGGCCAGGGCAAUGGAACAGUGGAGCCAGUCAUGGCCAUUCUGGUGUCAGCAGCCUCAGCCCAGAAGUCUAGAAAAGCCUUCGUAGCAAAAAACCUUGGCGAGAAGGAGAGGGGUAUCAAGGCUAAUCCAGGCCCCAGAAGCCAGCUAUCCAGUGGGCAAAUGUGACCUUCCCCGACCAGGUGUCCUCGGCUUUUGUAAACAGAGAGUUCUCACCUGCUCCAGAGCCAUCUCCACUUCCACUGGACCAUGGAGUCUUCACUGCUGCAGCUCUUGUAGACCCCUAGCAAAGAAGGUUGGCUUUAAGACUCCUGCCAGUGACCUGCAGGUAUGAAGAAAUACAUUAGGUCGUAGUGCUGUUCACACCCACAUCAUAUAACAGAAAUGAAAGUUUAGUAGUGAAUAAGCCCUCUGCUAUGAAUGCUGGUCUUUGAUGCCUUCUGUUCUAGUAUAUUUGACUAAAAGAAUUACUGGUUACAACCCAGUAAGUCAGUGAUUUCACAAUCUACUGAUAGGUCAUACCCAGUUUGAAAAGGCAGCCCUAGGAAAUGGAUCUGUCGUUUAUUCAUUCAACAAACAGUAAUUUAGACCCUAACAGUUG
rnacentral:lncRNA from 1 species